CAGACAUUAAUUUUUCAGGAAAUGAAGACAACGGUCAGAAGUUAAAAAUGAAUCUUCCGACUAUGUCCUUUUUACCACUUUUGUGGAACAUUGUAUUUUCUCAACGUGACAAGAAAUACAACAAUUCACACAUUGGCAUAUUUACUUUAAAUAUAUCUGCGGGGCUCUCUAAGCUAUUUCCAAACGAGAAAGUUGUUUGUACAAACAUACUUGGAUAUAAAUUAAUUUUUUUCUUACAUCCAGAAUCUGCAAAGGAAGUGUUAAAUAGCAACAGUUUAAUCAAUAAGGAUUCUACAUAUGAUUUCUUCAAGCCACUUCUCGGAGACAACAGUUUUUUUUUCAGGUAAUG